CCUACGGGAGGCAGCAGUGGGGAAUAUUGGGCAAUGGGCGCAAGCCUUACCCAGCAAUACCGCGUGAGUGAAGAAGGUCUUCGGAUUGUAAAGCUCUUUGAUCAGGGACGCACAGAUGACGUUACCUGAAGAACAAGCCCCGGCUAACUACGUGCCAUCAGCCGCGGUAAAACGUAGGGGGCGAGCCUUUGACGGGAUGACUGGGCUUUAAGGGUGCGUAGGCGGCAUAAUAAGUUAGAAGUGAAAUACCCAGGGCUUAACUCGGGUGCUGCUUCUAAGACUGUUGAGCUUGAGUGCGGGAGAGGUUAAUGGAAUGCCUAGUGUAGCGGUGGAAUGCGUAGAUAUUAGGAGGAACACCAGAGGCGAAGGCGAUUAACUGGACCGUAACUGACGCUGAGGCACGAAAGUGUGGGUAGCAAACAGGAUUAGAUACCCUAGUAGUC
rnacentral:rRNA from 1 species